UACGUCGGCAGCGAGCGUUGUUCGGAAUUACUGGGCGUAAAGAGUGUGUAGGCGGUUAGUUAAGUCUGGCGUGAAAGCUCUCGGCUAAACCGGGAGAGGUCGUUGGAUACUGGCUGACUAGAGGACGGUAGAGGCGUGUGGAAUUCCGGGUGUAGUGGUGAAAUGCGUAGAGAUCCGGAGGAACACCAGUGGCGAAGGCGACACGCUGGGCCGUACCUGACGCUAAAGCGCGACAGCAUGGGGAGCAAACGGG
rnacentral:rRNA from 1 species